rnacentral:sRNA from 12 species
GUUUAGGUUGGCGGCUCUAACGACAUCGUAGCAACCUAGAUACAAGCGUUACUAGCAGGGUAAGAGGAUGUAACAACGCAAUAUCGGUGGCGAAGUUAGUGCCGAUUCCUCGCAAGACUGACGGGU